UCCCUACGAAAUGGACUUUGCAGUUGAGA
rnacentral:piRNA from 1 species